GCCUGUGUGGAGUCAGCCUUGGGAUACCACACUUGUGAUAUUGGAAUUCUAACCUGCGGCCCUGAAUCGGGUCGGGGGACAUUGUUAGGCGGGCAGUUUGACUGGGGCGGUCGCCUCCGAAAAAGUAACGGAGGCGUUCAAAGGUUGGCUCAGCUUGGACGGAAACCAAGCCAAAGAGUGCAAACGCAUAAGCCAGCCUAACUGCGAGACUGACGGGUCGAGCAGUAACGAAAGUUGGAGUUAGUGAUCCGGCGGUAUGUGAGUGGAAAUGCCGUCGCUCAACGGAUAAAAGUUACCCUGGGGAUAACAGGCUGAUCUCCCCCAAGAGUCCACAUCGACGGGGAGGUUUGGCACCUCGAUGUCGGCUCAUCGCAUCCUGGGGCUGUAUUCGGUCCCAAGGGUUUGGCUGUUCGCCAAUUAAAGCGGUACGCGAGCUGGGUUCAGAACGUCGUGAGACAGUUCGGUCCCUAUCUGUCGUGGGCGCAGGAUAUUUGACAGGAUCUGUCCCUAGUACGAGAGGACCGGGAUGGACGCACCUCUGGUGCACCAGUUGUCACGCCAGUGGCACAGCUGGGCAGCUAUGUGCGGAUCGGAUAAACGCUGAAAGCAUCUAAGCGUGAAGCCGGCCUGGAGAUAAGAUAUCCCACUGAGAUAAUCAGGUAAGACCCCUUGAAGACUACAAGGUUGAUAGGCUCAAAGUGUAAGCACGGUGACGUGUUCAGCUAGCGAGUACUAAUCGGUCGAGGGCUUGACCACAAUCUUCU
rnacentral:rRNA from 1 species